UUCUCUUUCCUCUUUCUCGGAUAUUUUACAAAACAGUCGUCUUCUUCCUUCUGGUGUUCCAACCCUACACGUCUACCACUUGGUGUUCUUAUGAUGUGAACAAUGAGAAUGAAGGUGGCUGAGUUAAGAGAUAUAGACAUAAAAAAAAAACUUAGUGAUUUUUUGAUAGAGAAGGGGCAACAUUUUAAAAGGCAAUCGAUUUUAUAUGCGUAACCUACUUACAUUUGCAAGAGUGUACUUGGUUUGAGAUGCUUGUAUUUUUGAAUCCAAUCUGUAUUUUGAAUCUAGAAUACUCCUCAAAAAAGAGAUGUUUGUUGUUUGUGUAUGAUCUGAGCAUUUAUGAUGUUGUUUGUAAUUUUUCUUAACAAGCUUAUUCUCUCCAUUGUUAAUCAUUCUUUUCUUGAUGAUUAAUCUUUCGGAUGUUUUUUUUCUUUUACUUUUAUAAGACUCCCACCGAUUAGGAGUACUUUAUUUUGCAAGGUUAUUAGGACUUAGGAUCUUACUUUUUUUAAUUGUUGUUUCAUUCUAUUAGAUUUAUAGCUAAUCAAAUGCAAAUAUCAUACCGAUGCUCUAUACAACGACGAGUGAUCAGGGAAUCUUUGCAGUCGUGCGUUCUCUCUAGUUGUCUCUUGAUCAGAUCUUGAUGCAGUACACGUUGUUUCAUCCCAUCAUGCGAUUCAUUUGGUUUGUUUUUAUUUUUCCUAAGUGAUUCAAAUAAAUGGCACAUUUUUGGGACGCUUAUGGUGUGAUGAAACUAUCUUCACAGUGGUGAUAAUUGGUAGAGCCAUAUAACCAAGCUAAUAUUGUAUCCAGAUAUUAAGAUCGAGUGCUUUCAACUAGAGAGAAUGCUCGGCCACAACGGUUCCCGCCGAUUACUUUACAGAAAGAAUCUAAGUAUUGCUUGGGCAGGCAAUAUAUUAUAAGUAUCUAUAAGGUUUUCCUUGUUUCUUCAUAUGAUCUUUAUUAAUCAAGAGUUGAAUUGUGGUUUUAAUUUUGCAGUGCUUUAGGGAAUUGAUCGGGUAGUGUGAUUUCUUCUUGAAAAGACUUGGUACUGGAAUUAUUUCAGUUGCCAGAAAUGGAUAACUGUGUACUCGGAGUUUUAACUCUUGUUUAUAAUUUUGUUACAGGUUUUAGUGGCCGAGAAGGUGGUUGCUUGAUUUUCUUAUCUCCGGUGGAUGAUGGUCUAAUAUGAUCUGCAACAACCUGUUCUAAGUUCUAGUCGUCACUAGCCACAUUGACCCCAAAUAAUAAAAUUACACAGCAGUCUGCAAGGAGGAUAUGGUGCUUCUUGCUCGUCUGAAGCCACCUACCGUGCUGUGUCCGCUGAUGCAACUCGCCCUGGGAUACAACUGCAGUUUAAAUGGUCAAUACAGAGGAUUACGAGUUCUGUUAGGCCUAUUGAGAAUUCUAUAUUGAGCAGCUUUGUUGAAAGUGGGCGAGCUACAUCCAGCACAGUUGCUCUUUCAGGUUCCUCCAGUAGAAAUGCCUCACAACCCAUGAUGACAACUAAAACUUCACCAUUGGGCAUGCCUCAGGCAGCAGGAAUGGUCACCCAAGUAGCUGGUUUCCAUUAUGAAAUGGGCAUGCCUCGCAACCCAUGAUGACAACUGAAACUUCAAGCCUUGGGCAUGCCUCAGGCAGCAGGAAUGGUCACUCAAGUAGCUGGUUUCCGUCGUCACGACAAAAUUCUUCUGCUAAACAAUUGAUGGUGGGUGUUACAUCUCUGUUCCCACCUUCCCUGGCAGUUCAACUCAUGUUCCAUUGGUGCCUUACAAACAAUUAGGUCAACAUCUAUUCUUCCAUGAGCUCACUACAACUGUUAUUAACAUCUGUUGAUGGCAGUUGCACGACCUCCAGACGCCAUGGGAGGUGGCUGUAAAGUUGGAUGCUGACGUGUGUCAGAACAGAGACAGUCCACCUUAUGAGAUUCAUUAAACAUCAUAGAGCACAAUUCAGUAAGGCCAAAAACCUUAAGUAUAUAUGUAAAUUGUGUUAGAAGUGGAUAACUUCUUCUCACAUAUCUUGUCAUAUUUAUGCUUCUUCAUAA